CAGCCUCCCAAAGUGCUGGGAUUACGGCGUGAACCACAGUGUUGGGCCAUAUCAGUUUCCAUUUUGAAUAGUACAUUCAGAAGGUUCUAAGGGUCACAAUGUCUAUGAUUAAGAGGCAAUUAUAUAUAUAUAUGUGUGUGUGUAUAAAUAUGUGUGUGUAUAUAUAUGUGUGUGUAUAUAUAUAUAUUUUUUCUUUUUUUUUUUUUAAAGGAGAGGGUGCAAUGAUGCUCCCUAGCUAGUAAGAGUCCCAUCUUGGCCUUCUAAGGGAAAGAUAGGUAAAUGAAAAGACUGCUAAAUCCAAGGUCAGACAGCAUAUAGAAGGCUUUAUAAAAGAACAGGAAAACUCAGAACACUAAAUAAGAGAGUGCUUUCUUGGACUCUGCAGUUGGCCUCAAUCAUCGGAUCUGGAAUAUUACUUUUUACGAUUUUGGAAGCCGAUACACACCUGGAACUUUAUGAAUCCAGAAAGAGCCAACGUUUGAAUGAUUACUGCAAUCUCACAUCUAUUAAAUCCUGAUACCUGCAACCAAGAGAUGAGUAGGAGAUGUGGAUCCUAAGAGAAACAUAAAAUUGACAGAGCCAGGAAGUAACCCAGGAAAAAGAUGUGGUAGCAAGGACAAGUCAUUCUUGGAGAAGUUUUCAAAAGGGGAAUAUCCACGGGUAAAUGUCAACUGAAGCUCAGAUCACCUCAAGAAACCUGAGAUUAACAAAAAGGCACUACACAGAAGUGGGUAAGAGAACACUGGAAGCACACUGACUAAAUUUGAAUCCCAGCUCUUUGCAUUUACCAGCUGUGUGACCUUGGGAACAUAGUUUACCACCAUUUAUAAAAUGUACCCUACCUUCAUGAGAUUUUUUUUUUU
rnacentral:lncRNA from 1 species